AGAACGAACGUUAGCGGCGCGCUUAACACAUGCAAGUCGAGCGAGAAAGGGGCAACCCCGGUAAAGCGGCGCACGGGUGAGUAACACGUAGGUAAUCUACCCCCAGGUGGUGGAUAACUUUCCGAAAGGAAAGCUAAUACAGCAUGGGACCACGGCUCCGCAAGGAGUUGAGGUGAAAGUCGGCCUCUUCACGAAAGCCGACGCCAGGGGAUGAGUCUGCGGCCCAUCAGCUAGUUGGUAGGUAAUGGCCUACCAAGGCGAAGACGGGUAGCUGGUCUGAGAGGAUGAUCAGCCACACUGGAACUGAGACACGGUCCAGACUCCUACGGGAGGCAGCAGUGGGGAAUCUUGCGCAAGUGGGACGAAAGCCUGACGCGAGCGACGCCGCGUGAGUGAUGAACGGCCCUGGGUAGUAACG
rnacentral:rRNA from 1 species